rnacentral:rRNA from 1 species
UGGGGAAUAUUGGACAAUGGGCGCAAGCCUGAUCCAGCCAUACCGCGUGGGUGAAGAAGGCCUUCGGGUUGUAAAGCCCUUUUGUUGGGAAAGAAAUCCAGCUGGUUAAUACCCGGUUGGGAUGACGGUACCCAAAGAAUAAGCACCGGCUAACUUCGUGCCAGCAGCCGCGGUAAUACGAAGGGUGCAAGCGUUACUCGGAAUUACUGGGCGUAAAGCGUGCGUAGGUGGUCGUUUAAGUCUGUUGUGAAAGCCCUGGGCUCAACCUGGGAACUGCAGUGGAAACUGGACGACUAGAGUGUGGUAGAGGGUAGCGGAAUUCCUGGUGUAGCAGUGAAAUGCGUAGAGAUCAGGAGGAACAUCCAUGGCGAAGGCAGCUACCUGGACCGACACUGACACUGAGGCACGAAAGCGUGGGGAGCAAACAGGAUUAGAUACCCUGGUAGUCCACGCCCUAAACGAUGCGAACUGGAUGUUGGGUGCAAUUUGGCACGCAGUAUCGAAGCUAACGCGUUAAGUUCGCCGCCUGGGGAGUACGGUCGCAAGACUGAAACUCAAAGGAAUUGAC